CAGAGUUGCAAAACUCCCAACCCUUUGUGAACGUACUGAAAAGUUGCUUCGGCGGGAGGCUCCUCAGGGAGCGGACCGCCGGAGGAAUCCAAACUCUUGUUUUUUUGGCAUCUCUGAGUAGCUUAUAAAUAAGUUAAAACUUUCAACAACGGAUCUCUUGGUUCUGGUAUCGAUGAAGAACGCAGCGAAAUGCGAUAAGUAAUGUGAAUUGCAGAAUUCAGUGAAUCAUCGAAUCUUUGAACGCACAUUGCGCCCGCCAGUAUUCUGGCGGGCAUGCCUGUUCGAGCGUCAUUUCAACCAUCAAGCCCCAGGCUUGUGUUGGAGCCCUGCGGCUGCCGCAGCCUCCUAAAAGCAGUGGCGGGCUCGCUAUCACACCGAGUGCAGUAGUUUACUCUUCGCUCAGGGCGUGUGGCGGGUUCCAGCCGUUAAACCCCCUACUUUUACAAGGUUGACCUCGGAUCAGGUAGGAAUACCCGCUGAACUUAAGCAUAUCAAUAAGCGGAGGAUCGUACGCUUGGUCAUUUAGAGGAAGUAAAAGUCGUAACAAGGUCUCCGUUGGUGAACCAGCGGAGGGAUCAUUACAGAGUUGCAAAACUCCCACAAACCAUCGCGAAUCUUACCCGUACGGUUGCCUCGGCGCUGGCGGUCCGGAAGGCCCUCGGGCCCCCCGGAUCCUCGGGUCUCCCGCUCGCGGGAGGCUGCCCGCCGGAGUGCCGAAACCAAACUCUUGAUAUUUUAUGUCUCUCUGAGUAAACUUUUAAAUAAGUCA
rnacentral:misc_RNA from 1 species